UACAGAGGUCUCAAGCGUUGUUCGGAUUCAUUGGGCGUAAAGGGUGCGUAGGCGGCGCGGUAAGUCGGGUGUGAAAUCUCGGAGCUUAACUCCGAAACUGCAUUCGAUACUGCCGUGCUUGAGGACUGGAGAGGAGACUGGAAUUUACGGUGUAGCGGUGAAAUGCGUAGAUAUCGUAAGGAAGACCAGUGGCGAAGGCGGGUCUCUGGACAGUUCCUGACGCUGAGGCGCGAAAGCUAGGGGGAGCAAACGGG
rnacentral:rRNA from 1 species